UGGGGAAUUUUCCGCAAUGGGCGCAAGCCUGACGGAGCAAUACCGCGUGAGGGAUGAAGGCCCUUGGGUUGUAAACCUCUUUUAUCAAGGAGGAAGUUCUGACGUGUACUUGAUGAAUAAGCAUCGGCUAACUCCGUGCCAGCAGCCGCGGUAAGACGGCGGAUGCAAGAGUUAUCAGGAAUCACUGUGCGUAAAGCGUCUGUAGGCGGUUCGAAAAGUCCACAGUUACAAAUCGAGGCUUACCCUCAA
rnacentral:rRNA from 1 species